rnacentral:tRNA from 1 species
GGGAGUCUAGCUCAAAGCUAGCCCAAAAGCGCCGCACUGAAGAUGCGGUUGUCGAGGGUUCAAAUCCCUCUCCCC